GUUGAAACCCCGGUUCCCAUACGAUCACCGAAGUUAAGCAACGUCGAGCCUGGUAAGUACCUUGAUCGGUGACCGCUUUGAUAUACCAAGUGCUGUAAG